UCCCCGUUUCACAGGGCAGUCUGACCAGAGUGCUAGAACCCGAAGGUCCGGAGCAACAGGUCACAAGGGUUGCGCUCGUUGCGGGACUUAACCCAACAUCUCACGACACGAGCUGACGACAGCCAUGCAGCACCUGUGCAAAUUACCUCUUGCGAGGUUCACCGGCUUUCGCCGGCUGAGAGAUGCAUGUCAAGCCCAGGUAAGGUUCUUCGCGUUGCAUCGAAUUAAGCCACAUACUCCACCGCUUGUGCGGGCCCCCGUCAAUUUCUUUGAGUUUUAAUCUUGCGAUCGUACUCCCCAGGCGGCGCGUUUAACGCGUUAGCUGCGGCACGGAAGGGGUCGAAUCCUCCCACACCAAACGCGCACCGUUUACUGCCAGGACUA
rnacentral:misc_RNA from 1 species